AAGAAAGAGAGUUUCAGAUUGCUUUCACUACUAUUUGCUCCUGUUUCCCGCAUCCACAAAUACCUGAACAUCAUACAGGCUCUGUCACGCAGUUCUGGCGCUGGACAUGCAGACUGGUGUUCACUGCAGGAGAGCGAGCAGGUGCUGUGGGACCUCUGCACAAGCUGUCAUAUGACUUUGGCGAAGACGGGGCCGUGCGAAGAGGGGGAGAGGCCUGAACAAGGUUUGAGAAGCAGGUGCUGUGCCGAGAGCCCCGACUGUGGCCCUUCCGCUUUUACCAAGUACUGUGCCAACACUAAUGCAGAUACAGCCAGCGUCACAGCGGGCGCAGGCAUAGACAGCACUGUACACCAGAGGAAAUGCUGUCGUGUUGGCACCUCACGGACGCUACCUCGGCCCAGUGGCAUUUUAAGAAAUGGCCAUAAGCAUAUAUGUGAUCUGACCCCUGGUGGCUGGACUGCAGAGUACAUGUGGAAUGGCAGCUCAGGGAAGAGCCUCAUGGGUCCCAUCUGCGUACCCUUCGCUCGUCAUCCUAGAGAAGCCGGCCGCUUUCUGAAUCCUGUGCCACCUGUAGGUGUCGAGGGAAACCUCACUGCUGCUGCCAAGAGUCAGAGCUCCUCGGCUGGUCUGGCCGUGCGUGUGUG
rnacentral:lncRNA from 1 species